CACGUAGGGCGCAAGCGUUGUCCGGAAUUAUUGGGCGUAAAGAGCUCGUAUGCGGUCUGUUGCGUCCGCUGUGAAAACUCGGGGCUUAACCCCGAGCCUGCAGUGGAUACGGGCAGACUAGAGGUAGGUAGGGGAGAAUGGAAUUCCCGGUGUAGCGGUGAAAUGCGCAGAUAUCGGGAGGAAAACCGGUGGCGAAGGCGGUUCUCUGGGACGGUACUGACGCUGAGACGCGAAAGCGUGGGGAGCGAACAGG
rnacentral:rRNA from 1 species